GAUGAAGAACGUAGCGAAAUGCGAUAAGUAAUGUGAAUUGCAGAAUUCAGUGAAUCAUCGAAUCUUUGAACGCAUCUUGCGCUCCUUGGUAUUCCAUGGAGCAUGCCUGUUUGAGUGUCACGUAAACCCUCACACCAGUGAUGUCAAAGUCUCUGGAAGUGGAUUUGGACUGUGCCGUAGUUGGCUCGUCCUGAAAUACAUUAGCCUGCGUUUUUUAGCGUGCUCGGCAUGGUGUGAUAAUUAUCUGCGCCGUCGCCUUAGGCCGCUUCUAUAUGCGCUGCUUAUAAUCGUCACUUGCGGACAGACACUAUAAAGCUCUGGCCUCAAAUCAGGUAGGAUUACCCGCUGAACUUAAGCAUAUCAAUAAGAGGAGGA
rnacentral:misc_RNA from 1 species